rnacentral:pre_miRNA from 1 species
UUUAUUUCAGACGAUUAUAACUAUCGAAACACCAUAGGCGGAUCACACUAAUUACAGAAAAGAUGUAAUACGUCAUUCGGUGUUUCGAAAGUUUACAUCCUCAAUUUUUUGUUUGGAAAAC